CCGCUCCGCACGGUGGCCGGAACGUCUCUCCCUUACCAGCCUUCGCUUCCUGGUGCGCAGCUCUUAGGACCGUGUGUGACUCUGGCCUUCUACCGAGACAACAGAGAAACGCACAGCUACUCGCAUGGAGGAAUCGGCGAAAUGGCUCCGACCGCGGCGCGAGGGGGCGGGGACAGCGAGCGUACGCAUGCGCAGAGCGCGUGCCGGGGCGGGGGAUGGCGAGGGCGCGCCAAUGGAGGGGGCGGGGCUCAGCCACCUCGCGGCGCGGAAGGGUUUCGUUGCUAGGGAGAUGGGCUGAGCUGGGCGGGCAGCGCGCCCGACCUGCUACUCUGGAUAAUCCACUACCCUGGAUAAUCGGCUACCCGCUUUUGCGCAUGUUAGGGAGUUGACGGCCUGUACCAUUCUGAUGCAGCAAAAUAUUUCGCAGUGUCUGUCAUAGGGAUCUCCGGUGAGAGGAGGUUCCCUUCGAAGACAGAACUGGAAACCUUGCUGCUAACUUGGUAGGGUUGUUGAGAUAAUUACAUGAGAUGGCAUAUGAAGGGGGGCUUAGUUCAAUACCUGGCACGUAGUAGGUGUUCAGUGGGCGUAGUUACCGGAUUGAUUCAGAUAGUCUGAAUGCCAGUGUCUCUUGAAAGAAAUAAACUGGCCGGGCGCGGUGCCUGUAAUCCCAGCACUUUGGGAGGCCGAGGCGGGCGAAUCACUUGAGGUCAGGAGUUUGAGACCAGCCUGGCCAACGUGGUGAAACCCUGUCUCUACUAAAAAAAAAAUACAAAAAUUAGCCGGGCAUGGGGGCGGGCGCCUGCAAUCCCAGCUACUUAGGUGGCUGGGCGGGCUCCUGCAAUCCCAGCUACUCGGGAGGCUGAGGCAGGAGAAUUGCUUGAACCCCGGGGUCGGGGGCGGUGGCGGAGGUUGCAGUGGGCCGAGAUCACGCCAUUUUCUGGGCGAGAGAGCGAGACUCCGUCUCAAAAACAAAAAACCAUGAAAGAAAUAAGCUCAGUGAAGGCGGGCAUUCUGCCUGGCUAACGCAGGUCGCUCCUUGCCGUGCCUGGAACAUUACUGUAAGUGCUCAGCAAACUACUUUAAGGGUGUUGAAAGCAGCAGGGGCCUAGAAGACAUUAAACCGAUACCACAGAAAUACAAAGGAUCAUUAGAGACUAUUAUGAACAACUAUAUGCUAACAAAUUGGAAACCAAAUGGAAAUGGAUAAAUUCCUGAACAGAUACAACUUACCAAAAUUGGACCAAGAAGAAAUAGAAAACCUGAAAAGACCAACUAUGAGUAAUGAGAUUGAAUCAGUAAUAUAGAGUCUCCCAUCAAAGAAAAGCCCAGGCCCUGAUGGCUUCACUGCUGAAUUCUACCAAACAGUUAAAGAAGAACUCAUACCAGUUCUUCUCAAACUCAUCCUGUGAGGGCAGUAUUACCCUGAUACCAAAACUAGAUAUGGACACAAGAAAAAAAAUCUAUAGGCCAGUAUCCCUGAUGAACAUAGAUGCAAGAAUCCUCAACAAGGCCAGGCGUGGUGGUUCAUGCCUGUAAUCCCAGCACUUUGGGAGGCCAAGGCAGGUGGAUCACCUGAGGUUAGGAAUUCGAGACCAGCCUGGCCAACAUGGCAAAACCCCGUCUGUACUAAAAAUACAAAAAUUAGCCGGGCAAGGUGGUGGGUGCCUCUAAUCCCAGCUACUCAGGAGGCUGAGGCAGGAGAAUUGCUUGAACCUGGAGGGGGGCAGGCAGAAGUUGCAGCGAGCUCAGAUCAUCCCACUGCACUCCAGCCUGGGUGACAGAGACUCCAUCUCAAAAUAAGUAAAUAAAUAAAUAAAGAGACUCAACUAGCAUAAAUGAAUUGCAAGUGUUUUAUAGUAUAUAAUGAGCACAACAAAAGUAUCAAUAUAUUAUAUGGAAAUACAUUUUCAAAGCUGGAUCUUUAGCUUCCAAGGAUUAAGGAGAAUUUUGUUACUGAAUUGGUUCUUAAUUUAGGCUCUGCACCUGAGACCUAGAGUCCCCUGGGAUUUGGGUCCGAGGACUGGCAUUACCUUUGUAGGUGGCCUUUGGCAACUAGCACUGUCUAAGAUCUUAACAUUUGCAGAUGAAGCCUUAAAACAUGUCCCAAAAGUAUGGAAAGUGGGCCGAUUUCAACACAACCAUUACCUGUUCCCGGUAGCUGACCAACUAGGAGAUUUCAGAGGUUAGUCAAGUGGGACAGAGCAGGGUAGGGAAUUUUUUUUUAAGCUUUAUUAUAAAACAGGUAACUUUGUCCCUAUCUUAAGAAUUUGGAACUGAGGCUAUAGGUCACUCAAUGAUCAAAUAAUGAAAGGUCUGCUUCAACUGGACUACUUAACAUUUCACAUUUACCUUUUUGACCAGAAAUAACUGAUGACAGUUCACUUAGUUUGGUGGGAAAUAAGAGAUACAAAGAUAUCUUCUCCUCCAAGAUGAGACUCCCAAAGGCAAAUGUUCUCUGAGUACCACUGUCGCUCAAAUUUAAGACCUUUGGAGUUCCUUUGAGCAUGGUUCUGCCCUCAUAUUUCUGAUCACUCCAUCUAGACUUCUACUCAACUUCUCUUCCUCUGUGUGCACUCCAAUUGCAAGUCACACCCAGGUUCUGUUCUUAGCACUCUAUAUACCCUCUACCUGGAGAGUCUUAUUCUUCCUAUAUUCCAACCACCAUCCAUAUGCAGGUAUGGACUGAAUAUUUGUAUCUCCCCCAAAUUUGUAUGCUGAAGCCCUAAUCCUCAAUGUGAUGGUAUUUGGAGAUGGGGGUUUUAGGAUAUAACUGGGUUUAGAUGAGGUCAUGACAGUAGAGCCCCCAUGGUGGGAUUAGUGCCCUUAUAAGAGGACAAGACCAGAGCCUUUUCUCCUCUAAUAUAAUUACCCACAUAAACCUUAACAUAUUGAAGAGUUGGUUGAUCUCUUUAACGAAGGGUUCUCCAACUCCUGGGCUGCAGACUGGUACUGGUCCAUGGCCUGUCAGGAACAGGGCUGCACAGCAGGAAGUGAGCGAAGGGCGAGCAAACAUUACCGCCUGAGCUCCGCUUCCUGUCACAGCAGCAGCAGCAGCAGCAGCAGCAUUAGAUUCUUAUAGGAGUGUGAGCCUUAUUGUGAACUGCAGAUGCAAGGGAACUAGGUUGCAUGCUCCUUAUGAGAAAAUGCCUGAUGAUCUGAGGUGGAACAGUUUCAUCCUGACACCGUCCCUCCCACACCCCUGGUCCAUGGAAAAAUUGUCUUCCACGAAACCUGUCCCUGGUGCCAAAUAGGUUGGGGACCGCUGGUUUAAAGGACUGAUGACUCUUUUAAUGCAAUGAGUGACACAGAUGAAGUAUAUAAUCUGGAUUCCAGCAGAAAUGGUAGUCUAGAUUUUGAGAAUGAAGAAAAGAACCUAUCUAAUACUUUUAAAAUUAUUUUCUUGUUAAUAAUUACGGUCAUUCAAAAGCCAAUUUCUAUUAGACUUCUUCCUUUUUUAUUGCUUGUUGUACAUAUGUAUAAGUGAAUAUUUGUCUUUUCUAUAAGCAGUUGUAACAUUGGAAGUCAUUUUUCUGUCUCCAUUGUGCCAGUUCUUCUUGAACCAUUUGUUAAUCUACAAGUUCUAUGGCGAUAAAGAAAUCUAUUCACAUUCACAGGAUUUUGCAAUGUGUUUUGUUCCAUUUUUACAGUUACAUUUGCUUUCUCUGUAUUUAUUCUACAGGAAUUAAUUUAUUUUAUAGUUUGGCUUGCUUCUUAGUUAUGUAGUCUUGAAAUGCCAUAUUCACAUUUGCUUUUAUGGUUCCCAUAUUAAGGUUCAGGGCUUUAUUUACCCAUGCAUUUGUAUAUUUGAGCAUUUUUGUUGCUUGCUUUAUACAUGCUUUAACUGAGACUAAUACAUGUCUUUCUUUUCUUUUUGUAGAGACAGAGUCUUGUUAUGUUGCCCAGGCUAGUCUCAAACACCUGGCCUCAACUGAUCCUCCCACCUCAGCUUCUGAAAGUGCUGGGAUUACAGGCAUGAGCCACCACAAGAACAACACAUUUCUAUAAGGUUAUGGGGUUUUACUUUUUUCCAGUGUUAAUUAGUUUCACAUAUCUAGAAUUUGUAAUUUCUUACUGGAUACUGGUAUAGAAUUACUGUAUUUAUUUACCUGAACAAAUUAAUGUUUCCGUCUACAAACUACUUUAGAAAGAUUUUCGAUAAAGGUAAAUGGGAUGUAAUAAUCUAUUAAGAAAAAAUGACUCAGAGUGGAACCUGUAGCAAAAUAUAAAUCUGCUGUAUUUAAGAGUAAUUGAAAGCAACAGAUUCCAAAAGCUUGAAAAAAAUGGAGAUGCCCUAAAUAAACUUACCAUUGAAAAAUAACAGAAAAUGUUGAAUACAAAAAAAAAAAAAAAAUGUAUUGCUGUGCUGCCAAGAAAGAAAAUGCUUUAGAGGUAAACAUAAAUGAAGUGAAUGAAUGAAUCCAGAGAGGCAAGAGAACCCUGACGUAAGCACCUACCCUGAAAGGGUCUGCUGAUUUUUAAUGAACUAGAGCUUCCUUUUAAUAAAAGCUGCAUUGGGGCUUAGGAGAAAGGAGACAAAAGAGACUGCCCAACAUGCAGAGGCUGAGAGGAGACCUACACAUAAGCCAGAAUGCCUUAUAUCUUCAGUGAAAAGUGAACAACAAUAGCAACAAUGAAAAACCAAACCAACCAGAAAAGGGGUAUAAUAAGGAAACUUGUCUAUCAAAAACUAGAUGCUAGGUAGAAUUAAAAAAGACUCACUUCCUCUGAUACCCAAAAAAACCUCAAGCCAAUUAUUUAAAGUGGUUAUUAGUCAGCAGAGAUAAAUCACUUAGAAGGAUUAAAAUUAUAUUCUCUUUGGUGGAAUAUUCUUCUAUCCAGACCUCAAAUAAUUCCUAUAAAAUUCCACUGAACAUAAGCUCAAGUUCAAAAAAUCAUAAAACAGGUGAGGAUCUUAAGUACCUCUGAUGAGUGACAGGGUAUAAGUGGCUCAUGUGGGUGAUCCCAACACUUUGGGAAGUUGAAGUGUGAGAUCACUUGAAGCCAGGAGUUCAAAACCAGCCUGGCCAACAUAGUGAGACCCUGUCUCUGUUUUUAAAAAACAAAUAAAGUCCAAUGAGUUGAGUGCCAGCAGAAAAAGAAAACUGACAGAAUUAUAUAUAAAUGUUUUAGAUACUAGAAUUAUCUGCUACUGAAUAGAAAUAUACCUUUUCGUCAUUAUUAUGUUUAAUUCACUCCUGAAAACCCUACUGCUAAGUGAAAAGCCACUAAAUGAAAAUAAUAUUUUAACUGGAAAAUCAUGAUGCAUUCUGUGUAAACCCAAGAAAACUAAACAAUUUCAGACCAAAAAAAUCAAUUUUUCCAGAGACAAGGUUAUAUCAACAAGUUGAAAUAAUAAAGACAGUUUAUUUACAAACUGUAAUGUAAUGAA